rnacentral:misc_RNA from 1 species
ACAGCUUGAUGGUCUUGCAUUCUGUUCAGAACAACUGCCAUAGUCCAAUGUACUAUUUCCUUGUAUAGGGUGUUGUGGAGGAAUUCGGCAUACCCCAAAGGGAAAAUCCUAAUCAGGUGGCGCUCCAACCUCCUUGGCGCUUUGGCAAUGGAAUGUUUGCAUUAGUGCUGUCCUUCGGGCUUCUGCUAACUGCCCUUAAAAGCCGCAAAGCUAGAUCAUGGCGCUAUGGGACUGGUUGCCUACGUGGCCUUAUUGCUGAUUAUGGAGUUCCACUUAUGGUG